rnacentral:rRNA from 1 species
UACGUAGGGUGCGAGCGUUAAUCGGAAUUACUGGGCGUAAAGUGUGCGCAGGCGGCCGGGCAAGUCGAGUGUGAAAGCCCCGAGCUUAACUUGGGAAUUGCGCUCGAAACUACGUGGCUGGAGUGUGGCAGAGGAAGGUGGAAUUCCAGGUGUAGCGGUGAAAUGCGUAGAGAUCUGGAGGAACACCGAUGGCGAAGGCAGCCUUCUGGGCCAACACUGACGCUCAUGCACGAAAGCGUGGGGAGCAAACAGG